UCUCCUGGAAAAGGGUGGUAAUGCCGGAUGCUCCAGUUGAUCGCAUGGUCUUCUGGGAAAGCUUUCGCGGUAUGGGAUGGGGUCGCGUCCUAUCAGCUUGACGGCGGGGUAACGGCCCACCGUGGCUUCGACGGGUAGCCGGCCUGAGAGGGCGACCGGCCACAUUGGGACUGAGAUACGGCCCAGACUCCUACGGGAGGCAGCAGUGGGGAAUAUUGCACAAUGGGCGCAAGCCUGAUGCAGCGACGCCGCGUGAGGGAUGGAGGCCUUCGGGUUGUAAACCUCUUUUAUCGGGGAGCAAGCGAGAGUGAGUUUACCCGUUGAAUAAGCACCGGCUAACUACGUGCCAGCAGCCGCGGUAAUACGUAGGGUGCAAGCGUUAUCCGGAAUUAUUGGGCGUAAAGGGCUCGUAGGCGGUUCGUCGCGUCCGGUGUGAAAGUCCAUCGCUUAACGGUGGAUCCGCGCCGGGUACGGGCGGGCUUGAGUGCGGUAGGGGAGACUGGAAUUCCCGGUGUAACGGUGGAAUGUGUAGAUAUCGG
rnacentral:rRNA from 2 species